rnacentral:rRNA from 1 species
AUUGAACGCUGGCGGCAGGCCUAACACAUGCAAGUCGAACGGUAACAGGAAGAAGCUUGCUUCUUUGCUGACGAGUGGCGGACGGGUGAGUAAUGUCUGGGAAACUGCCUGAUGGAGGGGGAUAACUACGGAAACGGUAGCUAAUACCGCAUAACGUCGCAAGACCAAAGAGGGGGACCUUCGGGCCUCUUGCCAUCGGAUGUGCCCAGAUGGGAUUAGCUAGUAGGUGGGGUAACGGCUCACCUAGGCGACGAUCCCUAGCUGGUCUGAGAGGAUGACCAGCCACACUGGAACUGAGACACGGUCCAGACUCCUACGGGAGGCAGCAGUGGGGAAUAUUGCACAAUGGGCGCAAGCCUGAUGCAGCCAUGCCGCGUGUAUGAAGAAGGCCUUCGGGUUGUAAAGUACUUUCAGCGGGGAGGAAGGGAGUAAAGUUAAUACCUUUGCUCAUUGACGUUACCCGCAGAAGAAGCACCGGCUAACUCCGUG